rnacentral:rRNA from 1 species
CCUACGGGAGGCUGCAGUGGGGAAUAUUGGACAAUGGGGGCAACCCUGAUCCAGCCAUGCCGCGUGUGUGAAGAAGGCCCUCGGGUUGUAAAGCACUUUCAGUGAGGAAGAACGCCUGGUGGUUAAUACCCAUCAGGAAAGACAUCACUCACAGAAGAAGCACCGGCUAACUCCGUGCCAGCAGCCGCGGUAAUACGGAGGGUGCGAGCGUUAAUCGGAAUUACUGGGCGUAAAGCGCGCGUAGGUGGCUUGAUAAGCCGGUUGUGAAAGCCCCGGGCUCAACCUGGGAACGGCAUCCGGAACUGUCAAGCUAGAGUGCAGGAGAGGAAGGUAGAAUUCCCGGUGUAGCGGUGAAAUGCGUAGAGAUCGGGAGGAAUACCAGUGGCGAAGGCGGCCUUCUGGACUGACACUGACACUGAAGUGCGAAAGCGUGGGUAGCAAACAGGAUUAGAUACCCCAGUAGUC